CGUUAAAAUUUAGUUGCGCGUAUGCAUCCGAACGUAUUUUUAAUCUCGCGUAAAAUUUAAGAUUAUUAUUGCGCUGUGCUUUCAAAAUUAAUCCCGUUCUUAAUACUAAUCAUAACUUUCAACAGAUUAGUAAUUAAUGAUGUUUAUUUGGAUAUUAAACAGAAAAUCAUUCGUACUUAAUUCUUUUUUAUUCGUUCGACCGUUAUGAGACAUACAAAUCCGUUCGAAUAUUUUACGUUAAUACGAGCUUGCAACCGUGCAAUGACGGGACUGAAAAAAACAAUUCGAAAAGUUUAUCCGAGAUAUUUGAAAAACGGAAAAAUGAGUAUCGUGAUGGAACGGGAUAUUCUUUCUUUUCGAAUUUGUUGUGCAUCGAUAUGAACAAUUCUUGAGAGUAUACAAAUUUUGUGAUAUUUUUUUUUCUUCGAUAAGUACGAUCGAAGUAUGAUGCAGGUUAAGUAAGAAGAAAGAUUCGUCGUGAAGAACGGCCCUCGAGCGAGAUCAUCGGAAGUACUGGUUCGAGUUCGGACGUAGCCGGCUAGGAUGAGAGGGAAAGCUGCUUGGAGAACGAAACGACGAACCAGUGAACGGAGUUUAACGGAAGCUAUAGCGAACAGCAUACGUAUCAUAUUCAGGACGGUAGCAGCAGAGAAUUCAGGACUGCCCCUAUACAGAAGAAACUUAUAACCGCGAGUUCUCGAUCGGUUAUGACGAAUCUUCGUGGGACGAGCCGACGAAACGAGCCUUCCACCUCGAGUCGAAGGUCGAAAGAGAGAACGAAAGAAAGAAGGAAGAAAGGAAGGAAGGGAAGAAGAGUCGAGUUUCGAGUAUCGGUAAGUAGAUCUAAAUAUAACACCAGACUACGAACACCCUCCUGUCGUAAACCUAGAAACGAGAUUUAAACAUUUGCGACUCGUACGUCUCAUCCUUCGUUCUUAAUUUCAUUUUACGAGGCAAUAUAAUUCUUCUCGCGGAACCGAGCGAAAAUUAAUAACAUAUGACUUCGAGAGAACGUAAACGUACCGCGUGAUAAAACUCCGUGAAAUGCAAGGAAGGCUAUCGUUUUAUUGUUCGAAUUUUACAGUUCCAAGUUCGAUACUCGAUUUUAUCCGAAAUCGAUCAAUUACCAGCUCGAUCGAUUUUUCUCCAAAACGUAAAAGAUACGAAUCUAGUUACCUAUAACCUCUUCUCCUUUAUACGGUGGUGUCCUUGAUCGCGGACUACGAGACCAUAAACGUUACUUGUCCACCGAUUGUAGGAUAUUUAUCGAAGGACUUUUAUAAGGGUUAACGACCAUAUGUCGAAAGUCCGAUAAUACGAUCGAAUUAGAAACAGUCGACGUUGGUACUUUUCGCCGAGUUCUAAGGGAAGAGAAUUAAGAAAGAAGGAAAAGGAAAGGAAAAGAAAAGGUUUCUCGAUAACGGUGAGCAAAGCAACGCGAUCGUAACGCACGUAGCACUGAGAAACAAUUAGUGGGCGACAUUCGCGUUGGCUACCGGCGCAGCUGUAGAUUUUCGAUAUCGUAUUAACUCCAGCAUCGGGCAAUUAAUAUUCUCGAGUGAUAUUUAUGGUCACGAAGAAUUAAAUGGCUUUGCGGUGUUUCGCAAACGUUGAAUGCGACCGAGGGCCCGCGUGGCUUCAUCGAUAACCGCUCGAUCGUCGUUGACACGUACACGAGACCGAAUUUGAAUAUGCUUUUCGUUAUGGUAGGAGAAGGAACGAGGACACGCAGGCAGAGCGAGAGAGAGAGAGAGAGAGAGAGAGAGAGAGAGAGAGAGACAAAGACAGAUAGAGGAAUAAAAUAGCGUGGGCGAGGUUGAAACCCAUGGUUGAGAUAUAUGCUAAUUUGUUUUCGAAGAGCGCGCUAUUAAUUCUUAAUUAAGCUAACGCAGUGGCGCAGCCGCUCCAGUUUGGCAGUACACGUUGCACCGUUACACCUCAUUGAGAUGCUCCGUGAUAUAUCGAAACUUGGCCGGGCUUCAACUACAAAUGAUUAGAGCGACGAAACGGCGUUAUAAUAGCAACGGUUGCGUUGUCCUCUUGACCCAUUUCGAGUGGCAGUCUGAGAGAAAGACGGAGAGAGAACGAUCCCAACGGCGAGAGGAGAACAGUUUUGCGAGUUGCAAAAAAGGGCCAUGAAGAUAGAAAAGGAUGGCCGAGGGGAGCAAACGCUUUCCCAACGCAAAUCCCGGAAACGAUCGUCGUUUCUCGCGCGAUCGUGCGUGCAUCGUUUUUAUUUCGAAUUUUUUACCGGUGUCGCGUGACAUUUGAAAAAUUCGAAUGUCCGCCCUACGGAUCGCUACCUUCCCAUUUUUUCCCAAUGCGCUACUAUUUUUCCGCGCCACAGACUUUUCUACUUUUUCGUUUUAUUGUUUUUUUUCUCUACUUUAUG